GGUUAAGCAGAAACACAAAUUCAGGCUCGUCCAGCAAAACCCUCCAAAGGACCCACCACACCGGGACUCCCAUCAGACCCUGUCGCAGCCCGGGGAAGGCCUCGACCGGCUGUAGCCGUGCGAACCAUCUACGCUCCCCUUACUCCCAGUCUCCGGGGCCCAGAUGCAUGAGAAUGACGCCGCCUCCGCCUCCUCCGGGCCACUGGGACUGCCAUCAGCCCCUGCUCCAGUCUGGAAAGGAGUCGACCAACGAUAGCGUGAGGGCUUCUCAACUUUUAAAACGUCGACCCCAUCACCACAGGAACCACAGCUGUGACUUCCGAUCCUGAAAAGACUGCUGCUCCUUUCAUGCUUGUCGCCGUCCUUGUCUUCUAGAUUUUUGGUCUCUUUUCUUAUGUAUGGGUUGCCGACUUCUCCCUGCUCUCCCGUUCUUAGACCGUGAGGCUCUUGGCGGGGGUCAGGGAUCGUGUCUGUGAAUUUCUUUUCCAGUAACUAGUACAGCGCUUUGAACACGAUCACCUCAAAGAUCGAGAAUACCGACUUCAAUACAAAAUGCAUUUUUCAAAAUCGCAACUGCUGGAAUCCAUUGUAAGAAUCCCCCCGUCUGCAGGGAACACUCAGUUGAAGCUCUCACUAUCUGGACAUCAUUUUUGUUCAUCUCUCCCUUUAGACUGUAAAUUCACUGAGAGCAAGGAUGGUACUCAGUGCUCAAUUUCUAACUCAAACCCUGUGUGACCUCACCCUGCAUGUCUGCAUCAACACAUGAAGGAGGAGAACAGCAUCAUAGAGCUAAAGGAGGAGGUCGAAAGUCAGAGAGGAGAAAGAACAGGAGGGUCUGAUCAACCGAGAGCAGCAGCUAGAAAAUCCGACCCUGGGCACGAUCUCGUUAGGCAAACCCCGAAACACGUGGAAAAUGCUAAAGGUGUCCUCGGCUUCAUUUUCAUGGGAGUACGGAAGGAGCCAGAGACGGGCAAUUAAUGUCCCUUUAAUUUGGGCUUAAAAGAGGAGUAUAAUAAAUGACUACCAAGGCAUGA